rnacentral:pre_miRNA from 1 species
CUGCAUCUACAACUGAAAUACACACAGCAGCGUGUGUGUGUAUUUCAGUUGUAGAAGCAGU